GCAGAUAUUGAAUACAGUAAAAAACUGAGGUAAACCCUCUUCAUUCUGUAUUCACUCAUUAUUUGAGUUCAGAAGGCGGUUUAUUGAAUUCUCGAAGGAAGGGUGAAAUUGUUGAUAUUGGAAGACAUUCGAUAGCGAAAGCAACAUCCGAUUCUGAUCUAACGCUAGGUACUAAAGUAUGGGGAUAAAUAGGAUUAGAGACCUAGUAGUCCAUACAUAAACAAUGAGUGUCAACGUCUUUAAUAUAGUCAAUAUAUUUAGGGGGUUUAAAGCUAACGCGUGAAACACCGCCUGGGGAAUGUGGCCGCAAGGUUAAACUCAAAGGAAUUGACGGUGACUUAUACAAGGGGUGGAGAUGUGGUUUUAAUUCGAGA
rnacentral:rRNA from 1 species